CGUGAACCUUUACUAUAGCUUGACACUGAACAUUGAGCCUUGAUGUGUAGGAUAGGUGGGAGGCUUUGAAGUGUGGACGCCAGUCUGCAUGGAGCCGACCUUGAAAUACCACCCUUUAAUGUUUGAUGUUCUAACGUGGACCCGUGAUCCGGGUUGCGGACAGUGUCUGGUGGGUAGUUUGACUGGGGCGGUCUCCUCCUAAAGAGUAACGGAGGAGCACGAAGGUUGGCUAAUCCUGGUCGGACAUCAGGAGGUUAGUGCAAUGGCAUAAGCCAGCUUGACUGCGAGCGUGACGGCGCGAGCAGGUGCGAAAGCAGGUCAUAGUGAUCCGGUGGUUCUGAAUGGAAGGGCCAUCGCUCAACGGAUAAAAGGUACUCCGGGGAUAACAGGCUGAUACCGCCCAAGAGUUCAUAUCGACGGCGGUGUUUGGCACCUCGAUGUCGGCUCAUCACAUCCUGGGGCUGAAGUAGGUCCCAAGGGUAUGGCUGUUCGCCAUUUAAAGUGGUACGCGAGCUGGGUUUAGAACGUCGUGAGACAGUUCGGUCCCUAUCUGCCGUGGGCGCUGGAGAACUGAGGGGGGCUGCUCCUAGUACGAGAGGACCGGAGUGGACGCAUCACUGGUGUUCGGGUUGUCAUGCCAAUGGCACUGCCCGGUAGCUAAAUGCGGAAGAGAUAAGUGCUGAAAGCAUCUAAGCACGAAACUUGCC
rnacentral:rRNA from 1 species